rnacentral:lncRNA from 1 species
AUUUUCUCGUGGUGUGUGUGUCAUUUCAAUAACAAAGGUUUCAACAUGGUUGAAAUUUUCCUCUUUUCCUGGCCAGAGCAGCAGAAACACCUGUUACCUAUGUUCCUGUUUUCAACACCCAAAUUCAGAUGAUUUGGGUGUUAAACUGUUUCCUGGAAAUUUUUGGAAACAAGACUCGGAAAGAGGUUUUAUGCUGCUGGCAAUGAACACAAAUUCAUAUAAUGUUGCACCUACAGGUGGCUGCUGAGUGCCUUUUGAACUUCAGAGGAAGGCUUGUGUGAGCAAGGCAGAGACCUUAUGUUGGAGAUGGAAUGCUGCAAAAUGCAUGGAACUGUCCACCACCACUGUGCUGAAAUCAAGUGGAUCAAGGAGAUGUGGCACGUUGCAUCAUGACCAUCUGCUGCAGAGAUGUCCACGCAGCUGAGUAGGAGUAGGAUUGAACUUUGGCCUCAGGCUGUGAUGCAUGCUGUUGGACUGAUCCCUUCUGCUGCUGCUACUCAGAUCCCCUGGCUGGACUUGCAGCUCCUGGGGGAACACAUGCCUCAUGUCCUGGAAAGAACACAGUUCUGGAGUCAGAGGCCAUCAUUUCAUCUGGGCUAACUGUGUCUUGGUCCCUGACUAAUAUUGAGGCAAUGAAUGCAGAGUAUAGCUCAGCCCCAUCCUGGUUGAGAAAUUUCAAACAUACCAGGAAAGUAAAAGAUACGAGAGCCUUAACAAGGUUGUAAAUAUACAUGAAGUCAUCCUCUGCCUUUCUUCUUUCCUUGAGGCUAUGAUCUUUGCUACACGGGCUACAAUCUGAGUGUGGAGUGCUAAUUGCCAAAUUGACUUUACUGAGAAACAAAACAGAAGAAAAUAGAACUUAAUUUUCAAAUGUCAGUUAAAAACCCAUAUUAAGUGCAAGCAAUAUAAAAGACAAAGAAAACAAAAAGGGAACAUCGAACCCCACUGAAACAUACUUGGCAGGGAAAAGCAUUGCCUCAACUUUUCCCUGCUCAGAUUUUAAGGCCUCUUCAAGAGGACUCUUGGAUGACUCUGAAAUUAAGGUACAGACCAAUUUAGCCAAUCCAAGGAAAGCAGAGAAUAAACAAUUGAAGUGAGAAGGUCCCGAGGUCCUAAGUAUGUCUGGCGAUCUCUUCUACCACUCCUUGACUCUUUGGAGCACACCCUGACAGUGACUCAUUUGCAACUGGUCCAUGUAGGUAAGCCUUAACUUUUCUACCCUCCAAUCCCACACCUGCAAGUUCAACACCUGGAAUGUGAGAGUUGUCACAGGAUGGGCACUCCAGGAAUUAGGGGAUUUACUGGGAGGGCUCUGGGGAUUGAUACAAAUGAAAGAGAAGAGACUUCCAGUAGCAAGAUUGGGCCAAAGGAGAAGUAGAGCUGUGAGGCAGGCUCAACAAUGGUUUUGGCUAACACUAUGGGGAGCUUCAGAACUUCCCCUGUUGGUGCAAGAGAACUUGGCUUUUAAGCUCCCUGUGGAUCAAUCACUGGAUGCUGAUUGCUGUGGGAAGGAAGCAUGACACUGAGCAAGGUGGCUCUCCAGCAAUUUAUAAAAGGGGCUGACAGCUGCCUACAGCUCUUAGCAGCUGGGGCAACAAUUCCUCCUUUCUUAAAGGAGGAUCUAAGUGAUACAUCACAGCAUCCGUCGCAAGGACACUAAGACAGACACUGAUAAUUCCAGCAAAAGAGUAGAAAUCAGAUGAGAAAGGGGAGCCCAGCAGACCCAGAUUCCCUAGUGCCUCCAGCCCUUCCAGAUGGUCCAUUGGCAGGAAGCUUGCUAUACAAAUCCAUCAGGCUCUGGAAGAUGCAAGACAAAAGCUGAGAGGUAAGCUUAAAUCUUCUUUUUGCUGGUGGCUGCAUGGCCCGACUCUGAUACAAAGGCAAUGUCCACUAGCAACAGGGAAGCCAGAAACAGCUCCAAAAAUUGAUUCUACAAAGGAAGGACGUGAUUCAGAGUAAGCUGUUGUCUUCAUUGUCUCUAAGGAACCUGUGCUUUCAAAGCUCAGAUUGGUUUAACUCAACUACCUUGGAAUGUGGUAAGCAGCAAAGGCAAGUUCACCAAGAUUUCAGUCAUGUUAUAAGGGCUGAGCCAUGCUGGGCAUUGCUCUCUCAGUGACUCUUAUCAAAAUAAGGAUGACUCAGAUUCUUGAGUUAGCUUCUCUGAAAGCCUUCUACUUGCAGCAACUGGAGCCUGAAUUCCAGUAUCAACAAGGCAAUAGAUGCUCAUGAAAUGGGACUAACCCUAGAAUGAGAAACAGAUCCACAGAGAGAAAGUCUGAUCAUUCCUAGGUUUGGCUAUCCUUUUCCAGCUCUUCACUCCAGCAUUUUAAGCUUGGCCUGCAUAAGGAGACCUGGGGCCUGGAAUGAAGCUCUGGUCUCAGGGAGCUCCAAGUGAGAUGAUCAUGGUUGAAGAAGGUCCAAAUGAAGUCAGGUGUGGAGGACUGACCUGCUAUUUUCCGGGAUGACCUUUUGAGUCAUGAAAAACCAGGGAGUUAUGAGCCAAAUGGCAGGCCUUAUCUAUUUGGAUCAUCUUGAUUUUAGAAGGAUCUCCCUCUGUUGCCCAAGCUGGAUCAGAGUUCACUGCAACCUCUGCCUCCCAGGCUCAAGCAAUUUUCCCAUCUCAGCCUCCUGAGUAGCUGGGACUACAAGUACGGGCCACCACACCCAGAUAAUUUUUUUUUUUUUUUUAAGAGACGGGGUUUUGCCAUUUUGCCCAGGCUGGUCUUGAACCCCUGGGCUCAAGCAGUCCUCCCUGCUCUGACUCCCAACGUGCUGGGAUGACAGUUGUGAGCCACUGUGCCUGGCCCCAGCUGAAAUCUUAAAAGGGACCCAAUGCUAUAUUUGCAGUUAUGGUUCUAAGCCAUGACUUAGGCCUGGAGGAACUCCUGCAAGGGAAACCGUGCAGAUGAAAUGGGACAGCCACCCGGGCUCAGUCAUAUCUUGUCACGGGGGAUGCCGUAUACAGUUAAACAGUUUGUGCACUGCACAGCUCCAGGGCUGUAUUUACACAGACCACAAUGUGAUCGGCUAUCUAAUCCCUCACAUGCUUCCUCUGGGAGGUCUUUUCUGAUCCUCUCACAGUCCACGGGACUCUCCCUUCAGUGGACACUCAAAGAUGCUACCAGACGCGCCUCUGACCCCAGUCUCCAGAAAGGACCACGCCCUCCAGAAGAAUUCUCACUGGUGAAAUCUGAAGACCCUAGAUGAGCUGCCAAGGGUGAACCAAGAAGGGGGCUUUAACUCCUCAAGUAAAACCCAGUCCCCUCAGUGAUGUUGAACUACCCAUAGAAAAACCACAUCGAGGCCAGUUGUGGUGACUCAAGACUGUAAUCCCAGCAUUUUGGGAGGCUGAGGUGGGUGGAUCACUUGAGGUCAGGAGUUCGAGCCCAGCCUGGCCAACAUGGUGAAACCCUGUCUCUACUAAAAAUACAAAAAUUGGCCUGCCGUGGUGGCGUGUAUCUGUAGUCCCAGCUACUUGGGAGGCUGAGGCAGGAGAAUCACUUCAACCUGGGAGGCAGAGGGUGUAGUGAGCUGAGAUUGCACCACUGCACUCCAGCCUGGGCGAAAGAGUGAGACUCUGUCUCAAAAAAAAAAAAACAAGAAAAGAAAAACCACAUCGAGGUGGGCCAGGGAGGACCCAGCCAUUGCCACAGAGGUGUUCAAAUGCAACCUCCUCUUGCAUAUGAAGGGAGAUCAGCUGACAGUUUAGCUUGAAACUCUCAGGAUACCAGAAUUCCCUACUUAGGAGCUGGGGCCAGAGCCAGCCAUGUGCAUUUGUUCAGGCUUCAGACAUCCUUCCUUAGGAGCCAUCAGGAACUGGACUUAGUUGAGCUGCGACUAAAUUUCAUCUUGCUUCGAACAAGAGACUGCAACCUUCCCAUUAAUACCACUCAGGCCCGAGCCAGAAUCCCCCUGUAGCUAUGACCUGCUCACUUGAUUACCCACUCAGCCUGGUUGGUACAACACCCCACCCCCAUCACUGCUCCUGGCCCACCCUCUAGGACCAUAGACAGCCCAGGACAAAGCAGCUGUACUAAUAGUAUGAGACACCGCAUAUGUUACCUGUGAAAUCUAGUAUAUAUCACACUCCACCACCUCAGUCUGGUGGACAGAGGCCAGCUUGCUUUGAUCUUUCCAUCCCCAGGGGCUAGUGCAGUGAGGAACACAUAGUGGGAGUUCAAAAAGCAUUUGUUAAUACUGCCAUGCAUAUAAAACAAAGUUUAAAAUUUCCUAAAGUAAUAAAAGGAGCAUAGCUCUAGUAUCAUCUAUUUUUUAUUACGUUGUGUUUACACGCCUCUGGUUAGUAACCCAAACCUGUUUCCAUGGUGAAUGUGACAAGACUAUGUAAUUAUGGGUCUGUAACUUUUUCUUUUUCUCUUUCUUUGGAAAAAGCUAUGUGAUUGCAGGACUAUAACUGUAUCUUCCUUUGUAAACUAUUCCUAAAUGUUAUCUUGUAGCUAACCUGUCACAGCCAAGGGCCUCCUAGAGUAGGCUUCUCCUGCCAGAAAGUUGGCUAUUUCGUGCAAAGUUCUUAUAAAUGUUUAAGGAGAACUAAGGCAGAAAAAUUAAAGGCCAGAAUGAGAAAAAGAGAAAUAACAUUUUUGUGGAGCUAACUUAUGCCAGAAUCUAUAUGGCCUCAUUUAAUCCUCACAACCCUUAUUUCACAGAUGAGAAAACUAAGGCUCAGAGAGGUUGCCUGAAGAGACGCCCCCAUUGAAUCCCCUGCGUUCCAGACACACUCCUCCCUACUUUAUUUAUUUAUUUAUUUUGAGACGAAGUUUUGCUCUUGUUGCCCAGGCUGGAGUGCAAUGGUGUGAUCUCAGCUCACCACAACCUCCACCUCCCAGGUUCAAGCGAUUCUCCUGCCUCAGCCUCCUGAGUAGCUGGGUUUACAGGCAUGUGCCAUCACACCCAGCUAAUUUUGUAUUUUUAGUAGAGAUGGGUUUCUCCAUGUUGGUCAGGCUGGUCUUGAACUCCCGACCUCAGGUGAUCCACCCGCCUCGGCCUCCCAAACUGCUUUGAUUACAGGUGUGAGCCACCGCACCCAGCCUCUCCUCCCUACUUUAAUCGUGUAGCAGUAGCUCCUUGUGGCAAUCAGGGUCCUUUACCCUUGCUAGUGUAGUAAUUCCUUUCUUAGUUACCUCGUCCUUCAGUAUGAGGAUCCCAGAGUGAUCAGGUGGUAGUGGCCACUUCAAGUUCAACGAGUAAGUCCCAUGGCAUUCAUUCAUCCACUCCGCACUCCACCACGGAUACUAGCUGUGGGGAAAUAGCACCACAUGCCUUGUUUUGGCUCAAUGCAUUUCUAUAUCAUAGCGCAAAUCCAGCAGAGUGUUAUCUCUGAAAUGGAGCCUUACUGGGGAUGACACUGUAUUGGUCCGUUUUCACACUGCCAUAAAGAAUACUUGAGACUGGAUAAUUUAGAAACAAAAGAGGUUUAAUUGACUUACAGUUCUGCGUGGUUGGGGAAGCCUCAGGAAACUUACAAUCAUGGCGGAAGGUGAAGGGGAAGCAAGGCACGUCUUACAUGGCACCGAGACAGAGAGAGAGAGAGCGCACAGGGGAAACUGAAACUUUAAAACCAUCAGAUCUCAUGAGAACUCCCUCACUAUCAUGAGAACAGCAUGGCGGAAACCGCCCCCAUGAUUCAGUCACCUCCCACCAGCUCCCUCCCUGCAAUAUGGGUAUUACAAUUCAAGAUGAGAUUUGGGUGGGGACACAGAGCCAAAUCAUAUCAGACACUCCUUAAUAAGGUGUUCUAUUAAGGUGGUUGCUUCUGAAUAAUGGGGUACAUUGUCAGACCAGAGGAUUCUGGGUUAUGUGUCCAUUGUUGCACUCUCCCUGCCCUUUAUUUUAUUUUAUUUUAUUUUAUUUAUUUAUUUAUUUUUGAGAAAGAGCUUCACUCUGUUGCCCAGGCUGGAGUGCAGUGGCACAAUCUUGGCUCACUGCAACCUCCACCUCCCAGGUUCAAGUGAUUCUUGUGCAUCACCCUCCCAAGUAGCUGGGAUUACAUGUGCGCACCACCACACCUGGCUAAUUUUUGUAUUUUUAGUAGAGAUGGGGUUUUACCAUGUUGGCCAGGCUGGUCUCAAACUCCUGGCCUCAAGUGAUCUGCCCAUCUUGGACUCCCAAAGUGCUGGGAUUAUAGGCAUGAACCACAAUACCCAGCCUGUUGCACCCCUUUGUCAUAAAAAUGGGCCCUUUCUUCUGAGACAGUGUUGUGCUGUGUACCAUGCUAAGAGGCCAAGCAUCUUGUAGACCAAUAAUGGUAGCUCUUAUGGAGGCAUGGUGGGCUGGAAAAGAAAAUAUAACUGGAGUAAGUAUCAAUUUUGUUAAGGGACAAUUUCUACUUCCUCUGGCAUAAAAGAGUCUGAGAUAAUCAACCUGCCACAAAUGUCCUUGACGAACUUUGUGAUAUCAACGUUUCAAGGUCAGUUCUUGCUGUGGGUUAACCUGGGUGAGAGGGAACCCAUGUUGUUGGACCCAUACAUAGCUUCCAUCCCUGCCACCACAGGCACUCUGUUUGUGCAUUCAUUAUGCCACCACUGGAGUGGCUUAGGAGACAGGCUGGCUGACAUCCAUAGGAUAAGUCAUCCUGUCCAUCCACCUGGCUGUUGAGAGCCUUCUCUGCAAGGGAUGCUCCCUGUUGGGCAUCAAUGUGAGAUCCAAAGAUCUAGAUGCUUUUUACUUAUUCCCAGAAGUCCAUCCACAUGCCCUUUCCCCAGACAUCCUUGUCCCAUAUCUUCCAGUCUUACUCCUUUCAAGUUCCUGGCCAACCAGCCAAAGCAUUCAUUGCCGCCCCCAGAAUUCUUGUUAAUCCACACCUUAGGCUAGUUUUCCUCCCAUAAAAAAUGAAACAAUUAAAUUUACUACUGUUCUCUGCUUUACCUACCAGGAAAAUGUUCCUUUAACCACUGUACUUUAUAAAAUAAAUGUUUGGCCAAAACCAAUAAUUAAUGCCAACUCAUCUAUGAGAAAAUUUUCUCUCCCUUUAUUGGAUAUAGGAUGAAAGGGACUAGGACCCCUCUCCCCCACCAAUAAAGCCAGUGAUGUGAGUUGAGAGAGACAUACUGUUGCAACAAGGGUACUGAGU